AAAAACCUUCCCAGAAACAGUUAACUGGGGGAAGCUGUGCUCUUCUAACCUGCUCAGUUUUCCCAACUGUCUAUACAUACACAAUAUUUAAAUAUUACAGUUUGUCGCGAUACGAAACGUUCAGCCCCGCCCCUUGGCCGGCAGCGGGGUGCUAGAGGUGGUUAGCGUCCCGUUCCCUGGAUUGGACAGGGCACUAUAGAUACUUCAGGUUAUCUUGGUAUAACCAGGACCGCUCGCGUAGCCCUGCCUCUCUUUCUAUAUCGAUACGUUGUCCGCGUAGAGAGGUCUUUUGCCUUGUCACUCUCAACGGUCUAGCUCUAGCUGGGAUGUGUGAACCCCACGUUUAUCCUCUAGACUGUUUGUUUCACCACUAAUUGAUUCUUGAGUUGUUAUUAAGCACUAGUCCUACCAGUCUCUAUAUGAUUUUCCUCAGGUUGAGUAUUCCCCUUCUGUGAUGUAUCUAGUUUAAAGUGUGAAGACCUUUAGUCAACUUAGUCUCACUACUCUGCCCGUCGGCUAUGUAUCGCUUGGAUAAUAAAACGAUAAUAGAUCGAUAAGACAAUUAAUGAAUCACUACUGGACACACCUUCCUCCUUGUCUUUUAAUGGUAACUCACUUUGUCAUGGAGUAUUGGUCUCCGUUUCCAGUGUCCCGGUAGAGGGGAGUGUCAGAGUUGUUAUCUCCCGUGCCGUUAACUGUCUUGGGAGGGCGUUUUACUCGAGACAAAAUAAGACUACCGUUUAUUAUUGGAAAAGCUCUGUUUUGUCUUUUACAAUCAAACACAAUUCAAAAUACACAAUUUGUUACUUGGUUACACACAGCGUUAAUCAAAAACACGCAAAUGCCUUAAUGCUCUACAAUGCCUGGUACAAUGAUAACGCUUAUCUCUAAUCAAAUAUAAUACUUCAACUUAAUUACCUUUAAAAGAUGACAGGGAGACCCACGAGCGGUGUUUCAGUCGGUCAGAGUUCUUUUAAGAAUUUAGUUAGGUAGCGACUCCCCUCUACUGGCUGAGAGGUUGAAUUGGAGUCGGUGCUUUACUAAAUUUAGAGAUUCAAGUUUGGACUGGAUGAGAGAACCCGCUGGUGAUUCCCUGCCCCACUGGAAUAUCGAAUAGUCUGUGCCAUGCAACGAGGGCGAGGUACUGAGCUCAAUCGAGAGGUUAAUUACUGAGACUUUCUCUGGAUGUAAUUUGCGUCAGUAUACACGCACCAAGGCCGCAGGCGACAGAACAGCUGUUCAAUAGUUAAACGGUAUAUCGGAGAGACACUUCUCAGAUCCAACAAGUUAGAAUCUUUAAGUAAUUUGAGUCAGGUGCCAAUUACCCGAAGUCAAAUGGUUGUCUAAAUGAAUUCAGAAUUCAAGAAGGCAGCGCCGAAGUAUCGGCAGUUUCUCUAUAAAUACCUUUUUAUCCCUCACUCGAGGUCACGUGAGUGUCCUCCCCUCUACACACUUGGAGGACACACAACUGCUUUACCACACAUUAACAACAGUUCAUAUAUGGGCAUCCGUUUUUGACAGUGCCCUUACUCUUAUAACAGUACAUAUAUGGGCAUCCAUUUAUGACAGUGCCCUUACUCUAUCAGCAAUGAGUCUAACAGCUGUUCCCAUUCAGAGGUGUCACUUGAGGCAGAGGGUGGUUUUUCCUGACACCAGUCUUGUUCAGUAGUUGGUUGGCUUGAGUCAUCUUCUGGUGACGUUGCCCAAUCUGGUAUUUCAGUAGGCGUGGUCAUCUCUGUCUCUACCAUUGGUGGGUAAGACCGGGGAAGAGGACCAGGAGGUUACACAGGGACUGGGAGAAGAACCUAAGGGAACUCUACUCGGACAAACCCCAUCCGGGAUUCUGCAGCCCAUUUUGCAUGACUAUGGAAGGGUUCUUUGAUUGACAAUCUCUCUCACACUACCAUAAUUCCAAUGAAAUAAGUAGUGCAGGAUAUGAGGGGGUGUAAUGGAUGAAAACCAGUGUGGGGAUGUGGACUACUUACUACAGGAUGAAGAUUCACUCAUAGAAGGGGUCAGCAACCCAGUCCUCAUCGUGGUAGUUCUGAGUUGCUUUUUUGAUUGGACUUCUAUCACUGCUCUACAGAGACGAUCAACUAAACAUCCACCCAGAGAACCAGGAGCAUGUGCGUGCUGUUCGGUAGCAGCUUCUGCCACCUCCUCUAUGGUUCCUGUAUAAUUGCGUAUUGGAGGCGUGGGACUUGGUGUGGUGCUAUUAACUGUCCCAUCUGUUGACAAAUGGUGACAUUUUUUUCUGCUCUUUCAAUAACACGCCUCACUGCAGCAGGUCCAGGAUGGGCAGACUGAGCCGAUACGAUACUCAUCUUGCAGGAUCUCGUUUCUGUUCUUAGAAAUACUAAAACUAGCAUUCCUGCAAGAUUAUUUUGUUUAAAUGUAAUUUAAUCUCUGAGAAAUUAAGCUAAUUGAUUUCAACCCAAUUGGCCAUUUUAAUGUACAGGAUUCAUUUAAUAUUCAACAAAUAUAGUACCUAACAUCCGAUUUGGACAAAACUUUUUUUCUAACAAUGAGUUGGGUGCAAUCAAUUAGCUGCAUUUCUCAGAGAUCACAUUAUAUUUCAACAAAAUAAUGAUUCCAGAAUGCCUAUUUUAUCUGUUUCUAAAUACAGAAACUAUUUCAGAACAAUCAGAUGGUGGGUGUCAUGGCUUGCAGAAAUGACAUGGAAUGACCUGGAAGCAAUAUCUAAAUGACAUACUGUCACGCCCUGGUCUUAGUAUUUUGUGUUUUCUUUAUUAUUUUGGUCAGGCCAGGGUGUGACAUGGGUUAAUUAUGUGGUGUGUUUUUGUCUUGUUUUUUUUGUAGGUAUUAGGAUUGUGGUAUAGUGGGGUUAUCUAGAAAAGUCUAUGGUUGCCUGAAGUGGUUCUCAAUCAGAGGCAGGUGUUUAUCGUUGUCUCUGAUUGGGAACCAUAUUUAGGCAGCCAUAUUCUUUGAGUGUUUCGUGGGUGAUUGUUCCUGUCUCAGUGUUUGUUUUCACCAGAUAAGGCUGUUUAGGUUUUCACGUUAUGUUUAUUGUUUGUAUUGUUCGUGUUUAUCUUUUUAUUAAACAUGAAUCGAAAUGACCACGCUGCAUUUUGGUCCGAUCCCUGCUACACCUCCUCUUCAGAGGAGGAGGAGAAAGAGAACCUUAACACAUAUGUCAUAUCAUGUUGAUUGACUAUCUGUAUGGAUUAUUAUUACAGCUGUGGUAAUUGGGUAACUGAUAAGGGAAUUAUAUGCUUAAAGGUAAUGAUUCAAAUAUUCCACCCUGAAACCAUAUAAUUGUAUGAAAUUUAUAAGAAUCAUAAAUCUAUAAUCUGAUGGUGUGUGUAGUUUUAGUCAGAAUUAGAACAAGGACCUUUUGCUCCUUUUUAGUAUGUAAGCAGGGUGCAAGUGGGAAACAAAUGAUAAGCGGAGCUAUCGACAGACAAGUUGUACUACUGUGUUCCUUACAGGACAUUCUGUCUCCAGAGGAGAGAAACUGUUGGGCUUGCAGAAGAUUAUGAAACAUGUUGCAGAUUAAAGAAAGAAUGUAUCUGUUUAGUGGAAAAACACUGUCUGAGCAAGGUGUAGCUUAAGAUUUGAACUUGUUUGUGUGUGUGUGUUAUAAAGACUGUGUUUGCAUUUUUGAUUUCAGAGCGCUCUCGUGAAUA
ensembl:lncRNA